rnacentral:miRNA from 1 species
UCUCACAGCUCCUUGCAUUUAG